rnacentral:tRNA from 1 species
GGCUGGGUGGCUCAUUUGGUUAAGCAUCUGACUUUGGCUCAGGUCAUCAUCUCACAGUUUAUGGGUUCAAGCCCCAUGUGGGCCU